GCAGUCGAGCGGAGUGAUGGUGCUCGCACUAUCACUUAGCGGCGGACGGGAGAGGUAACUUAGGAAUCUGCCUAUUAGUGGGGGACAACAACCUGAAAGGAAUGCUAAUACCGCAUACGUCCUACGGGAGAAAGCAGGGGAUCUUCGGACCUUCGCGCUAAUAGAUGAGCCUAAGUCGGAUUAGCUAGUUGGUGGGGUAAAGGCCUACCAAGGCGACGAUCUGUAGCGGGUCUGAGAGGAUGAUCCGCCACACUGGGACUGAGACACGGCCCAGACUCCUACGGGAGGCAGCAGUGGGGAAUAUUGGACAAUGGGCGCAAGCCUGAUCCAGCCAUGCCGCGUGUGUGAAGAAGGCCUUAUGGUUGUAAAGCACUUUAAGCGAGGAGGAGGCUACUGAAGUUAAUACCUUCAGAUAGUGGACGUUACUCGCAGAAUAAGCACCGGCUAACUCUGUGCCAGCAGCCGCGGUAAUACAGAGGGUGCAAGCGUUAAUCGGAUUUACUGGGCGUAAAGCGCGCGUAGGCGGCUAAUUAAGUCAAAUGUGAAAUCCCCGAGCUUAACUUGGGAAUUGCAUUCGAUACUGGUUAGCUAGAGUGUGGGAGAGGAUGGUAGAAUUCCAGGUGUAGCGGUGAAAUGCGUAGAGAUCUGGAGGAAUACCGA
rnacentral:rRNA from 1 species